rnacentral:tRNA from 1 species
GCCGGUGUGGCGGAACUGGCAGACGCGCGGGACUCAAAAUCCCGUCUUGGGCAACCAGGGUGUGGGUUCGAUUCCCUCCACCGGCACCA